rnacentral:rRNA from 1 species
UACAGAGGGUGCAAGCGUUGUUCGGAAUUAUUGGGCGUAAAGGGCGCGUAGGCGGACGGUCAAGUCAGGGGUGAAAUCUUUCAGCUCAACUGGAAAAGUGCCUCUGAUACUGAUCGUCUCGAGGGAGGUAGGGGGGCAUGUGGAACUUCCGGUGGAGCGGUGAAAUGCGUAGAUAUCAUUUGGAACGCCAAUGGUGAAAAACAACUCGCUGGGGGUGUGCUGACGCUGAGACACGAAAGCCAGGGGGAGCGAACGGG